rnacentral:rRNA from 1 species
GACGAACGCUGGCGGCGUGCUUAACACAUGCAAGUCGAACGGAAAGGCCCCGCUUUUGUGGGGUGCUCGAGUGGCGAACGGGUGAGUAACACGUGAGUAACCUGCCCUUGACUUUGGGAUAACUUCAGGAAACUGGGGCUAAUACCGGAUAGGAGCUCCUGCUGCAUGGUGGGGGUUGGAAAGUUUCGGCGGUUGGGGAUGGACUCGCGGCUUAUCAGCUUGUUGGUGGGGUAGUGGCUUACCAAGGCUUUGACGGGUAGCCGGCCUGAGAGGGUGACCGGCCACAUUGGGACUGAGAUACGGCCCAGAAGCGUACGGGAGGCAGCAGUGGGGAAUAUUGCACAAUGGGCGGAAGCCUGAUGCAGCAACGCCGCGUGCGGGAUGACGGCCUUCGGGGUGUAAACCGCUUUCGCCUGUGACGAAGCGUGAGUGACGGUAAUGGGUAAAGAAGCACCGGCUAACUACGUG